UUUAGAUGUAAAUUAUAUAUAUAUAUAUAUAUAAAUUAAUUAUUAAUAGAUAUGAACUUUAAAUUUAAAAAAAUUGGCGGUAUUUAAAACUAAUUAGGGGGGUUUGUUUAAUAAACGAUGAUCCGCGUGAAAUCUUACUUUAAUUUAUUUAAUUUAUUUAUUUUCGUUAACAGAAUAUUUUUUAAGAAUUAUUAAAUUUUCAAAAAAUUUAAUUAAAAAUUUUAUUUCAGAUCAAGAUGUAGUUUAUAUUAAAGUUUAAAUGAAUUACAAUAAAUUUUAUUUUUAGAUAUUAAAUUUAAAUAUUUAAUUGAAAUUGGACUUAAUAGUAAAUAAAAAUACAAUAUUUUUUUGAAUUUAGAAUUAAAUAUGU
rnacentral:rRNA from 1 species